GAUGAACGCUGGCGGCGUGCCUAAUACAUGCAAGCCGAGCGAACAGACGAGGAGCUUGCUCCUCUGACGUUAGCGGCGGACGGGUGAGUAACACGUGGAUAACCUACCUAUAAGACUGGGAUAACUUCGGGAAACCGGAGCUAAUACCGGAUAAUAUAUUGAACCGCAUGGUUCAAUAGUGAAAGACGGUUUUGCUGUCACUUAUAGAUGGAUCCGCGCCGCAUUAGCUAGUUGGUAAGGUAACGGCUUACCAAGGCAACGAUGCGUAGCCGACCUGAGAGGGUGAUCGGCCACACUGGAACUGAGACACGGUCCAGACUCUUACGGGAGGCAGCAGUAGGGAAUCUUCCGCAAUGGGCGAAAGCUUGACGGAGCAACGCCGCGUGAGUGAUGAAGGUCUUCGGAUCGUAAAACUCUGUUAUUAGGGAAGAACAAAUGUGUAAGUAACUAUGCACGUCUUGACGGUACCUAAUCAGAAAGCCACGGCUAACUACGUG
rnacentral:rRNA from 1 species